rnacentral:rRNA from 1 species
UGCAAGUCGAGCGCGACCUUCGGGUUGAGCGGCGGACGGGUUAGUAACGCGUGGGAAUAUGCCCAAAGGUACGGAAUAGCCUCUGGAAACGGAGAGUAAUACCGUAUGUGCCCUUCGGGGGAAAGAUUUAUCGCCUUUGGAUUAGCCCGCGUUAGAUUAGGUAGUUGGUGGGGUAAUGGCCUACCAAGCCUACGAUCUAUAGCUGGUUUUAGAGGAUGAUCAGCAACACUGGGACUGAGACACGGCCCAGACUCCUACGGGAGGCAGCAGUGGGGAAUCUUGGACAAUGGGCGCAAGCCUGAUCCAGCCAUGCCGCGUGAGUGAUGAAGGCCUUAGGGUCGUAAGGCUCUUUCGCCAGGGAUGAUAAUGACAGUACCUGGUAAAGAAACCCCGGCUAACUCCGUGCCAGCAGCCGCGGUAAUACGGAGGGGGUUAGCGUUGUUCGGAAUUACUGGGCGUAAAGCGCGCGUAGGCGGAUCGGAAAGUUGGGGGUGAAAU